GGCACAAACUCGAAGUAGAGUAGUCUAGUAGGGUGAAAUGACCCUUCUGAUCUACUCUACUUCAAAUUUGGGCCA
rnacentral:pre_miRNA from 1 species